rnacentral:rRNA from 1 species
UACGUAGGGUCCAAGCGUUAAUCGGAAUUACUGGGCGUAAAGCGUGCGCAGGCGGUUGUGCAAGACCGAUGUGAAAUCCCCGGGCUUAACUUGGGAAUUGCAUUGGUGACUGCACGGCUAGAGUGUGUCAGAGGGGGGUAGAAUUCCACGUGUAGCAGUGAAAUGCGUAGAGAUGAGGAGGAAUACCGAUGGUGAAGGCAGCCCCCUGGGAUAACACUGACGCUCAUGCACGAAAGCGUGGGGAGCAAACAGGAUUAGAUACCCGUGUAGUCC